rnacentral:rRNA from 1 species
UACGUAGGGUGCGAGCGUUGUCCGGAAUUAUUGGGCGUAAAGAGCUCGUAGGCGGUCUGUCGCGUCGAUCGUGAAAACUUGGGGCUUAACCCUGAGCUUGCGGUCGAUACGGGCAUGACUGGAGUUCGGCAGGGGAGACUGGAAUUCCUGGUGUAGCGGUGAAAUGCGCAGAUAUCAGGAGGAACACCGGUGGCGAAGGCGGGUCUCUGGGCCAAAACUGACGCUGAGGAGCGAAAGCGUGGGGAGCGAACAGG